rnacentral:rRNA from 1 species
UACAGAGGUCUCAAGCGUUUGUUCGGGAUUCAUUGGGCGUAAAGGGUGUGUAGGUGGCGCCGUAAGUCGGGUGUGAAAUUUCGGAGCUUAACUCCGAAACUGCAUUCGAUACUGCGGUGCUUGAGGACUGGAGAGGAGACUGGAAUUCAUGGUGUAGCAGUGAAAUGCGUAGAGAUCAUGAGGAAGACCAGUGGCGAAGGCGGGUCUCUGGACAGUUCCUGACACUGAGACACGAAGGCCAGGGGAGCAAACGGG